rnacentral:rRNA from 1 species
GACGAACGCUGGCGGCGUGCCUAAUACAUGCAAGUCGAGCGGGGUCCAACCAGUGGCAACACUGGGGACGACCUAGCGGCGAACGGGUGAGUAACACGUGAGGAACCUGCCCCGAAGUCUGGGAUAACUCGAGGAAACUCGUGCUAAUACCGGAUGCCCCCAUCUGAUCGCAUGGUCGGAUGGGGAAAGUCUUUUCGCUUCGGGAGGGCCUCGCGGCCUAUCAGCUAGUUGGUGGGGUAACGGCCCACCAAGGCAUCGACGGGUAGCUGGUCUGAGAGGACGAUCAGCCACACUGGGACUGAGACACGGCCCAGACUCCUACGGGUGGCUG